UGCGUAGGUGGUCCGUUAAGUCUGUUGUGAAAGCCCUUGGCUCAACCAAGGAAUUGCUUCGGAUACUGGCGGACUUGAGGCUAGUAGAGGUCACUGGAACUGACGGUGGAGCGGUGAAAUGCGUAGAUAUCGUCAGGAACGCCGGUGGUGAAGACGGGUGACUGGGCUAGUUCUGACACUGAGGCACGAAAGCGUGGGGAGCGAACGGGAUUAGAUACCCCGGUAGUCCACGCCCUAAACGAUGCAGACUAGACUGCAGCGGGUUACACCCCGUUGCGGUCGGAGCGAAAUUGUUAAGUCUGCCACCUGGGAAGUACGGUCGCAAGGCUAAA
rnacentral:rRNA from 1 species